CCUCUCUCAGGGUCACACCUGAAGAGUUUCCAGUACUCUACCAGUCUCAGCUACGGGAGCGAGAGAGAUUCAAGCGGAGGCCUACCCAUUCCAUUCCUAGUUUGGGCAGUGACUAGCAAGUGGAAGACAAUCUGCUACAAGU
rfam:Ornithorhynchus anatinus chromosome 4, whole genome shotgun sequence.